rnacentral:rRNA from 1 species
UAUGUGAUCGUCUCUCGCAUAUCAAUAAGCGGAGGAAAAGAAACUAACAAGGAUUCCCCUAGUAACGGCGAGUGAAGCGGGAAGAGCUCAAAUUUGAAAUCUUAAAGGGUUUCCCUUUACGAAUCGUAGUUUAAAGAAGUGUUUUCUGUUGAGGUUUUGGUAAAAGUUCUUUGGAAUAGGACAUCAUAGAGGGUGAGAAUCCCGUAUUUGACCUUUACUUUCAACUUUGUGAUACACUUUCAAAGAGUCGGAUUGUUUGGGAAUGCAGUCCAAAAUGGGUGGUAAAUUUCAUCUAAAGCUAAAUAUUGGCGAGAGACCGAUAGCGAACAAGUACCGUGAGGGAAAGAUGAAAAGAACUUUGAAAAGAGAGUUAAAACAGUACGUGAAAUUGUCAAAAGGGAAGCGUUUGACACCAGUGUUGUUUUUCUGAAAAUCAAUUAAAGAACUGUUUAUGCUAAGUUGUUUAGACUUUAUCAGCUAACUGUUUAGUUUUGAGCUUUUCUUUAAUGCACUUUUCAGUUAACAAGUCAACAUCAAUUUCUUUUGCUGUAAAAAAGCUUGAGGAAGGUGGCUUGAGAUUCGUCUUAAGUGUUUAUAGCCUCUUGCCUAUGCAGUCGGAGAGAUUGAGGUCUGCAGCGUAGAUCCUUCGGGGCUAAAUGCAUUUGUGCUAAGUUAUAGCAUUUUAUAGACAACUUGUUGACUAUGAUUUGUCUUGUAGCUUACUCGCUUAUGUUAUUUUACCUACGCUUAGGAUGUUGAUCUACAGAGCGAGAGU